UUGAGUAAAAAUUUAAAGUCGAACCUGCCCCCUGAAAAAUUGAAGGGCCGCGGUAUUUUGACCGUGCAAAGGUAGAAUAAUCAUUAGUCUUUUAAUUGAAGGUUUGUAUGAAUGGUUUGCCGAGAUAUUAGCUGUCUCUUUAUAAUUUUAUGGAAUUUACUUUUGGAGGGAAAAGGCUUAAAUGUAGAGGGGGGGCGAGAAGCCCCAAAAAACUUUAAAAAUUUUUAUAAUUAUCUGUAUUUGGUAGUAUUUGAGAUAGUUUUGUAAUUUAUUAUGUUGGGGUGACAUAAAGAAAAAUUUAACUCUUUAUUAAAAGAUACAUUAAUUUAUGGUAGUUGUGAUCCCUUAAUAUUGAUUAUAAGAUUAAGUUUCCUUAGGGAUAACAGCGUAAUUUUUUUUGAGAGUUCUUAUCAAUAAAAAAGAUUGCGCCCCCGAUGCCGGAUUAAGGGAAAUUAUUAGAUGCAGUAGUUCAAACCGAGUGCGU
rnacentral:rRNA from 1 species